rnacentral:misc_RNA from 1 species
AGCAAUAUCCGCUUUAUGCUUUUCUCUUUUCCGGUAGCCAUAUUUACUGGAUCAUUCACGUUCUUUAACUCUUCUGUUAUCAAUUGGUUAUAAUUCGAAGUUCGACUGUAGUUCUAAUAAUUCACAAUGAGUUACGGAAGACCCCCGCCGCGUAUCGACGGCAUGGUGUCCCUCAAAGUGGAUAAUCUUACGUACCGUACCACACCUGAAGAUUUGCGUCGAGUAUUUGAAAGAUGUGGCGACGUUGGAGAUAUUUAUAUUCCCAGAGAUCGUUAUACAAGGGAAAGCAGAGGAUUCGCUUUUGUCCGAUUCUAUGACCGAAGAGACGCAGAGGAAGCUUUAGAGUCAUUAGAUGGACGUAUGUUGGACGGUAGGGAGCUUCGUGUACAGAUGGCCCGGUAUGGGCGCCCCUCAUCGCCGUACAGAAGCCGCUACGACCGACGCCGCAGCCACUCGCGUUCACGGUCUCGUUCACGUCGUCGAUCCAGGUCCCGUUCGCGGUCCAGGCGGCGCUCGUACACGCGCAGCCGGUCCCGCUCGCGUUCUCGCUCUCGCUCCGACUCGAAGAGCUCACGCGGCCGCUCGCGCAGCCGCAGCCGCUCCAGGUCACGCUCUAGGCACUGAAGUGUUGAGUUGAGGGUACCAGUUGUGAGCUGAAGUGUUGUGCCACAUGACUCGGCAGCCUUUGGCCAGGCUGUGGAGUAUGCGGGGAGCGGUGCGGUUUGCGGGGGGGAGGGGUUUGCUGUUUGCUGACAACUGCUGAAUUGCUGUUGUUGCCGUUCAUAAGUUAUGAGUAAACUUUUAUAUUUAUACAAACGAGACACGCAUAACUUACGUUUAUAGUAUAAAGGCUCCUCGCCAAAUCUUCGUGAUGACUGUAGCAAAUGAACAAAUUCAAAUUAAAGCAAUUCUCUAUUUUAUUGGGGAAAUAUUGCGAUAGAAUAUUUGACUACUAUUGAAAAAAUCCAUUUUACCCAUUAUCACUUGUACAAUUAUGUUCUAUAAUAUAAAUAUAUAUCAUACUAGCUGACCCCGUAAACGUUGUUUUACCACUUAUUGCGAAAUAUAAAAGUAUUAAAAUACAGGGGUUGAUCGUAAAACGAUGAAAAUUUAAAGUAGUGUGUAUUUUUCAAUGCUAAAUUAUAAUAAAAUAAAAAUACAAAAAUUUGUCAAAAAAAUAAAAAAAAAAUUUUUGGGGUGGGUCACCCUUAUCACUUACGGGUAUGAAAAAUAGAUGUUAGCCGAUUCUCAGACCUACCCAAUAUGCACACAAAAUUUCAUAAAAAUCGGUAAAGCCGUUUCGGAAGAUUUUGGUAACAAACACCGUGACACGAGAAUUUUAUAUAUAAGAUUUAAAAUUAAAUGUUUUGGUAUUAUCCGUAUAAAAAGAAAAUAGUGAUCGAAUAAAAAAACCUAUAUGCGGUCACGUAAUACGUGUUACGUCGUACAAAAAUUAACUUUCAAAUACUUUCUUAGAAACCUUAAUAGUACUACAGAAAAUAUAGUAUAGAACUAUCAGUGAAAUAUUUAUUCAAUACUUCGUUCCAUCUUACGAGACACAGGAGUGAGGCACCUAACAUUUCCUAUGGUUCUAUAAAAUAUGUUCAAACCAUAGAAAUCAGUUCUAAAAUAACUGGAAACAUAAUUUUUACACUAUAUUUCGUAAAAAUGAGCAGACUAAUAAUAUUUUCAAUAUAGUCAAAUAACCUAUGCAAUAUUUCUUUCCUCUUUUCUAUUAUGUACCGAUUCUUACUAUCAGCUCAUUUAUUGUAAUACUUUUUGGUAUAUUUAAAAAAAAAUUGUCAGGUCGUGAGCGGCAAAAGUUAAUAGGGUUUUGCAAUUCACUGAAUCGUAUAAUGAACAGAGUACAUAAUACAAAACAUUGACGUAGGUACAGCCGAUCGAUAGACACACAGACAUCAAACUAAUACAUGCGUUUGUUUGGCAGGCCGGUGCUGCUCGCUGGCCUGUUUGCUGUGGCAGUUUCCUGUGCUGAUUGCUGUGAUUUGCAGAUACACUUUAUACUUGUCACGAUUGACAAAAACGCCUCUCCUGCCCUUCGACCGAUAAAAUUUUUUAAGUACAUACCUACUUACACGUUUUCAGCGUAGUAUUAAUUUUUGCAGUUUAUAUUUACGUUUAUAUAUUUCAAAGGAAAGGUUUCAAUAGGUUUUUUGCGGUAAACCUUUCCUUUGAAAGUAGCAGUCAAGAAAGAAGCGUCACCAGAUGUGGGACACCUGGCACCGAACUGUGUGUAGGUUUUAUCUUAAUAAAUAAACAAUAGUAUUAAAAUAAA